CACGCCCUCGCGGGGGUGCUGCCGGACGCUCUCUGUCAUGCGCCCCCCGCCCCCGCCCCUUCCCGCAGAUCCAAGGUGCGGCGAGGAACGGGGGCGUUAGGGAGCCCUAGAGAGGGCGUGGGUGAUCGGAUGAGCGCUGAGGUCUGUAAAUAUUCGUUGACUCUUUGAGGCUGCAGACAAGAUUUGGGGCUGUCUCGUCCGUCCCGGACUGAGUAUGAAGGCAGCUCAGACUGAGAAAAUUGGUGCCUACCGCGGGCCUCAGCCAUCCCCACCGGCUGAUUGGAGGAGUCUGGGAUCCUCCGCCUCUGAUUGUACUCGGGGCUAUAGCGAUAGAAGCGGCCGCUCUGCCCCCUGGUGGACGUGUGAGGCACAGCGCCCUUCUCCAAUUCCAGAAGCAGCCCCGUGGUGGUGACUAGAGGAAGGAAGCGCUCUUUGUUCACUCGGAUAGAAAUGGCAAAAUUUGGCAGAAGAAAAAUAAUCCCAGCCCUUUCUUUUUCUAGUUUAUUUCUGAGGAUCUGGUCCGUUUGGAUGCAGAAAAAACUUGUGUUGUUUCUCUUGCCUGGACUGUAUUUUUCCUUCCCGCUUAUACAAACCCUGCCCCUUUUUCAA